rnacentral:rRNA from 1 species
CAAAGGCUUGGUCCUGACUUUACUAUCAACUUUAGCUAAACUUACACAUGCAAGUAUCCGCACCCCUGUGAGAAUGCCCUACAGUUCCCCGCCCGGGAACAAGGAGCCGGUAUCAGGCACACAUAACCCAGCCCAUGACACCUUGCUUAGCCACACCCUCAAGGGAACUCAGCAGUGAUAGACAUUAAGCCAUAAGUGAAAACUUGACUUAGUCAAAGCUAACAGGGCCGGUAAAACUCGUGCCAGCCACCGCGGUUAUACGAGAGGCCCAAGUUGACAGUCACCGGCGUAAAGAGUGGUUAAAGAAUGAUUAAAACUAAAGCCGAACACCUUCAAGGCAGUUAUACGCACCCGAAGGUUAGAAGCCCAACUACGAAAGUGGCUUUAUCUUUCCUGAACCCACGAGAGCUACGGCACAAACUGGGAUUAGAUACCCCACUAUG